rnacentral:rRNA from 1 species
UACGUAGGGUGCAAGCGUUGUCCGGAAUUAUUGGGCGUAAAGAGCUCGUAGGCGGUCUGUCGCGUCUGCUGUGAAAACUCAGGGCUUAACCCUGAGCUUGCAGUGGGUACGGGCAGACUAGAGUGCGGUAGGGGAGACUGGAAUUCCUGGUGUAGCGGUGAAAUGCGCAGAUAUCAGGAGGAACACCGGUGGCGAAGGCGGGUCUCUGGGCCGUAACUGACGCUGGAGGGAGCGAAAGCAUGGGGAGCGAACAGG